CGACAAUGCUGUGACGAAAGUUAGAAACACGACACACGUGGCCAGAGCUUGUGCCAUUCCACGAUUCUCGAAUACGUGCACCGCAAAAUCUCGAAGACACUGUGGCACUGUCUAAAGAAACAGAAAUUAAUAUAGACUAUGGACAACGAUACUAACCAGGCGAAUAAUUUAUUCAAUAAUUUGACAACCUCCUCGGCAGUGCAUUGAUCCGACAAGGAAGUGAAUCCACAAAUGUCGGCGAACAGGAUGCUGGAAAACGAUUACCAAGAUGUAUUCUUCUCGGUUAGGUUCCGGUCGAUGACAUUUAUACGUAAUGUAUAUCUGUUCUGAGUGGAACGAGGAAGAAUUGGUCAGACUUUGAAAUACAGACAUAUCGAAAUAUUACUAGAGGGAUUUACUAAAGCAAUGGAACUUUAGUGGACAGAAAGUGAUUAAUGGAGGAAUUGGUCCAUCAGAUCCUUGGAAUAAUGUUCAAUUUAUGAAAGCAAUUGAUUAGAUCUUAGAAUAUAAUCCAAUUUAUAUAUUAAAACGUUAUUAAAGGUAGUCAAGUAAAUGGACAAGAAGUGAAGAAAUUGGAAUAUAACAUUGCUCAAUUUAUGAGAGAUAUUAAUAUUAUUAAAGAGAUCUUUCAAAGAAUAAAUAAUGAGUAAAAAGUGAUAAGUACAAAAGUUGAUCAGACUUGAAUGUAACUCAACUUAUGAGAUACAUUGAAACAUUAUUAAAAGGAUAAAAUAUUGAUUUGGGAGAAUUGGUCAGGAAUUGGUCAGAUCUUAUUGCUUAAUUUAUGAGAGAUAUUAAAACUAUUAAAGAAAUCCUUUAAUGGAUAAAAAAUAAUUACUGCAGGAAUUGAUAUACUGAUCAAGAAAUGAAAUGCAAUAUUAAUAAAAGGAUUUUCCAGAAGAAAAUAAUGAAUAAAAAGAAAAUAGUAAAAAUUAGUCAAACAUUGGAAUAGUGAAACAUUACUGGAGAGACUUUCUAACAAACUAGGUGAAAUUUUACAAAAUACUGGUAUUCAUGACAACUUGCUGACCCACUACCAAGCAGUCAUAGACGAAUGGAGAUGAUACUUCACCUAGUCCCAUAUUGUGAGGGAUUAAGGGCAAUAAGUUCAAAAAUACUUAAGGUUUCUAUACUGGACACGAACACGACAAUAAAGUUUCUCCAUUUUACUUCCAUACCAAGAUUACUUUUCAUAUGAAAUUGAAACUAUAUAUACUGAAGCUAUAUAUAAUAAUUCGAUAUGAUGAUAGAGAAUCUAAUCAAAUUCUCAACUUACACUUUCAUCUGUAGUAAUAGAUAGAUGUUAAUACAUGUAUAUUAGCAAAAGUUUAAUAUUAAUCAAAUUUUGUAAAAUAUAAACAAUGAAAGAAUAUGUGUAUCUAUGAAAGAUCGUAGAUUAAUGAACUAUUUAAAGUUUAGCAUUAAGUGGAAUUCUACAUUAAACGAAAGGAUGAAGAAAUUUGAUGAAAGUGCAUAUCUCCUAUCUCGAUUUGAUUAAUCGACCAGAUUAUUUUUAGCGGCUGGGUUCCAUUAAGAACGGUGGAAGUUUGUUAAAGAUACCGAGUUAUCGGGCAUCGCUUAUAAUCCCAGCCAACAUUCUACCCGUGACCUGGCCCAUUGUGCACUUUAAUCAGAAUCAAUCUAUCAUGGAUUUGUCCAUUUGGUGUCUAUCAUUUAACUUUCGGUGAAGUAUUAUUUUAUAUUUCGCAUUCUAUGAAUCCCAAAAAAUUCAUGGAAUAUAGUAUAUAAGUUCAAUAUAGUAUUAGCAAUUUCAAUAUAGUAUUAGCAAUCAUUUUUUGCAAAUAUUUCGAAAACUAAGGAUCACAAUCGAUUAUAUAUUUGAGAUCUUCUGCAAUGCGUUUAAAGAUUGUCGAAAUAGGAGUGUUACGUGUCGACAGUUUCAUCAUGUAUUAUCGUAUCAAUUGUACGAUGAGAAUUGAUAAAAAUUUAUAACGAUAUCUUCAUCAAUUUUUCGUGUCGCUCGUGCGAGAUAGAGAGAUCUAGGGACUUUGGGUCGCAGCAGUUGUUAAAUGGAAAAUUUGUUGAACCGUAACGAAAACCCUACGGCUAUUUACGAAACCUCGAUUCGUAUCUAUCUGCAUGUGAUGUUUUCCCAUUGCCAAAAUUUCGACGAUGCACGCCUAAAAUUUUUAUAAAUCAAAAAAUAUAAUUUAUUCCCAAAUAUUCUUAAAUCUAUUAUCCAUUAAUAUUCAAAUAUCUGUAUAUUUUCGUAACUUCGCUCCACUAGUUGAUUAUUAUGGAAAUUAUUCACCAAAAUAAUUUUGGAGCAACUUAAUAUUGCGCUGACAUAAUUUUGAAUUAUACGAUCGACUAUAUGGAUAUGGAGUAUAUAUAUAUAUAUGUUAUAAUAAUUAGAGAGAAAAUUGCAGAGACAGUUUGCUAUACGUUGUCCAUUAUAUUAAUAAACAAUUGGGAGAGUGCAUUAAUUAUCGACCUACAUGUGCAAAAGGUUUAAUGAUCAAAAUUUGGUUAGGUACUCUCUAUCGAACUCGGCCUUAAAUACGUUACUGAUAACUAGUCGAUUUUCUAAGUUGGUAAUUUCAAUGUUCCUAGAUACUAUAUUAUCAAACUUAUGUUAAAGAUUGAUUAAUUAAUACCAAGAUUAAAUAAAGAUACUUGUAUGAGAUACAUAUAUCUUUUUAAUCUUUUUAAUCUUUUUUAAAAUAAUUUUGCUUUUAAUUUUAAAGUCGUUUUCGUUAGAAAAUUUUUUUCUCCGAUCUGUUUUGCAAAUGUUUAUGUCAAAAUUUGAAAAUUUUGUAAUACGAAUAAACUGUAGGAAAAUGAUUUUCCAUGAAAAUAAUUCCUAUCCUUGAUUGAAAUUGAAUUUUUACGAGACUAAAUAUUUAAAAUUUAUGAUUUAACGAAAAUAAACUGCGAAAAAUCGUUCGGUGAAAUUUAUCGAUAGGUCGACAGAAUUUUGUGCAAUACUUUUUUACAUAUUUUCAUAUCAAACAUAACUUUUUGUUAGAAGCAAUUUUCACCGUGUAAAAAUAAAAAUUUCUCGGUUUUAACGAUUAUCUCGUGAAAAUUCCAAUAACCAAAAUGAAGUUUUGAAUCAAAUAACACUUUUGAACAAUGUAUUUUAAUUUAACGAACAUAGAU